rnacentral:rRNA from 1 species
CACGCCGUAAACGAUGAAUGCUAGGUGUUGGGGUUUAGAUACCUCAGUGCCGAAGUCAACACAUUAAGCAUUCCACCUGGGAAGUACGAUCGCAAGAUUGAAACUCAAAGGAAUUGACGGGGGCCCGCACAAGCGGUGGAGCAUGUGGUUUAAUUCGAAGCAACGCGAAGAACCUUACCAAAUCUUGACAUCCAACUGACGUAUCCGUAAUGGGAUAUUUCCUUCGGGACAGUUGAGACAGGUGG